AUGGAGAUCGCCGCGGGAGCGAUGACCCCCUUGCUCCGCAAGCUCGGCGGCCUGCUCCUGGAUGAGUACAACCUGGAGAAGCGCGUGAAGAAAGGUGUAACAUCUCUGCUCACAGAGCUGGAGAUGAUGCACGCCGCUCUGCGCAAGGUGGGCAAGAAGCCACCGGAGGAGCUCGACGAGCAGGUCCGUAUCUGGGCGGACAAGGUGAGAGAGCUCUGCUACAACAUGGAAGAUGCGGUGGACGCCUUUAUGGUCCUUGUGGAGGGCAACAAGUACCAUGAGCGUGGCCCCAACAACAUGAAGAACAGAGUCAAGAAGUUCCUGAAGAAGACCACCAAGCUGUUCAGCAGAGGCAAGGCUCUCCAUGAGAUUGGUGACGCCAUGGACGAAGCAAAAGAGCUUGCCAAGGAGUUGGGUGACCUGCGUCAAAGGUACAUGCUUGAAGGGCAUGCCGGCGAGACCAGAGACACCAUUGAUCCCCGCCUGGAAGUUAUGUACAAAGAUGUCUCAGAGCUAGUUGGAAUCGAACAUAAAAGGAAAGAACUGAUCAAGAUGUUGAGAGAGGGCGAUGAAAAUGGCAAGCAGCAACCCAAGGCCAUCUCUAUUGUUGGAUCUGGCGGACUGGGAAAGACAACCCUUGCCAAAGCAGUCUAUGACAAGCUCAUAGGGCAGUAUGAUUGUGAAGCUUUUGUUUCGGUGUCUCGGAAUCCCGACAUAAAAAAGAUUUUCAAGAAAAUGUUACAUCAACUUGACAGAAAAAGGUAUGCAUCUAUCAAUGAAGCUGUUAGAGAUGAAGAACAACUCAUCGAUGAAUUGAAUAUGUCUCUUCACUGUAAGAGGUACCUAAUCGUAAUCGAUGACAUAUGGGAUGAAGAAGAUUGGCGAAUUAUCAAGUGUGCUUUCUCCAAGAGUGUCGGUAGUGCAGUAAUAAUGACAACCCGCAAAAUCAGUGUCUCAAAAGCAUGCCACUUAUCUGGUGAUGACAUGGUUUAUGAGAUGAAACCUCUUACUGAAGGUGACUCCCAAAGGCUCUUCUAUAAAAGAAUCUUUCCUCAAGGGAGUGAUUGUCCUAGUCAAUUGGAGCAAGUAUCUAGAAAUAUCUUGAGGAAAUGUGGCGGAGUACCGCUAGCCAUCAUUACUAUAGCUAGUCUUUUAGCUAGUAAUGAACAACAAAUAAAGCCAAAGUAUCAAUGGGACAACAUACUCAAUUCUAUGGGCCGUGGACUUGCAGAAGGUGGUAGUGUGAAGGACAUGCGGAGAAUACUAUCCUUUAGUUAUUACGAUCUACCUUCUCAUUUGAAGACUUGUUUCUUGUAUCUAAGUAUUUUUCCAGAGGAUUUUGAGAUUAGGAGAGACCGGUUGAUAUGGAGGUGGAUAGCCGAAGGCCUUGUCCAAGGUGGAAAACAAGAAAGUAGACCAUUUGAGCUCGGUGAGAGUUACUUUAACGAGCUUGCAAAUCGAAACUUGAUUCAGCCAGUAGAUAUUGAUGUGGAAGGCAGGGCAAGUGCUUGUCGCGUGCAUGACAUGGUGCUUGAUCUCAUAUGUUCCUUGUCCAGUGAAGAAAACUUUGUCACUGUACUGGAUGGUACUGUGAAAAGCAAACCUAGCUCACACAUCAAGGUUCGCUUGUUAUCCUUUCAAAACAGCAUGUCAGAGCUCACCACCCAUCGGGUUGAUGCCACAAGUAUGCCACAACUGAGGUCAGUCACUCUCUUUAGAACUGAUGUUGAUCUGAUCCAGGCUCUUCCAAGCUUUCAAAUUUUACGCGUUUUGGAUUUAGAAGGUUGCAAUCUUGGGGAAAGUAGCCACAAGGUUGAUCUUAGUUGUGUUGAGAAUUUAUUACACCUGAGGUACCUAGGGCUAAGAGAUACACGAGUUGGCAUUCUCCCUAUGGAAAUAGGAAAGCUACGGUUUUUGGAAACACUGGACUUAAGAGUUGGUGGAUCUGCAGAGGUGCCAUCAAGUGUUGUUCGGUUAGGACAUCUGAUGUGCCUAUAUGUUGAUCCGGAUGUGAGAUUGUCAGUUGGGAUGGGGAACCUGGUGUCCUUAGAAGAGCUGACUACUGUGAAGGUGGGUGGUACUGUUGCGAUCGAGAAAGAGCUAGGGCAACUGAUUGAGCUGAGGGUGCUUCAGCUUGAGUGGACUGGAGACGAUGAUAGUGUGUGUAGUUCCUUGGUGGUGUCCCUUGGCAAUCUGCGGAAAUUGCAAAGUCUAAUAAUUUUCCGUCAAGGCGGCUUAAGGUUUGAUGUCAUCUGGGACAGUUGGGUGCCCCCUCCACAUCUCCGUACGUUUGAGUUUGUUGGAUGUACUUUGACAAUGCCAAAGUGGAUUAAUUCAUCAGUGCUUCCGCUCCUCUCCAUCCUGAGAAUAGAAGUGAAGAGAGUGCAGCCGGAGGUGGAUAUUCAGAUCCUUGGGAAGCUGCCCGCUCUUCGUUUUCUCUAUCUGGAGACCACCAAAGAUCAGUACACCCGCGCCGAAAGUUUCAUUGUUGGCGCCGAUGCAUUCCCGUGUUUGAGGGAGUGCUAUUUGUACUAUUUUCAGACGGGGCCAUCUAUUUUUCCAAGAGGAGCUAUGCCAAGGCUUGAAGUCCUCUAUUUCUUUGCCCGAGCGCUGCACAUCGCGGGCGGUGAACUGGACGUGGGCAUGGACCACCUCCCUUCGCUCCGGCGGGUCAUGGUUUCCCUUUGUCCUGAGAAAGAUGAGAUUAUAGAUAAGAUUGACGAAGCAGCUGCUAUGGUGAGGCUUUCGGCGGCCGUCCAUCCUAACCGUCCUGCUAUUGUUGUCUUUGAUUUUUAUUUACCCACAGAAUGGGAACAAGAGGAAGAAGAAUGA
rnacentral:rRNA from 1 species